rnacentral:rRNA from 1 species
AUUGAACGCUGGCGGCAUGCUUAACGCAUGCAAGUCGAACGGUAGCAGACCUAGCUUGCUAGGUGCUGACGAGUGGCGGACGGGUGAGUAACGCGUGGGAAUCUGCCCAGUAGCGGGGGACAACUCGGGGGAAACUCGAGCUAAUACCGCAUACGCCCUACGGGGGAAAGGCUUCGGCCACUAUUGGAUGAGCCCGCGUCGGAUUAGCUUGUUGGUGGGGUAAUGGCCUACCAAGGCGACGAUCCGUAGCUGGUCUGAGAGGAUGAUCAGCCACACUGGGACUGAGACACGGCCCAGACUCCUACGGGAGGCAGCAGUGGGGAAUAUUGGACAAUGGGCGAAAGCCUGAUCCAGCAAUGCCGCGUGUGUGAAGAAGGCCUGCGGGUUGUAAAGCACUUUCAGUAGGGAAGAUUAUGACGGUACCUACAGAAGAAGCACCGGCUAACUCCGUGCCACGCAGCCGCGGUAAAGUGACUAC